rnacentral:rRNA from 1 species
GAUGAACGCUAGCUACAGGCUUAACACAUGCAAGUCGAGGGGAAACGAUAGAGAAAGCUUGCUUUUUCUAGGCGUCGACCGGCGCACGGGUGAGUAACGCGUAUCCAACCUGCCCAUCACUUGGGGGAUAACCUUGCGAAAGUAAGACUAAUACCCAAUGAUAUCUCUAGAAGACAUCUGAAAGAGAUUAAAGAUUUAUCGGUGAUGGAUGGGGAUGCGUCUGAUUAGCUUGUUGACGGGGUAACGGCCCACCAAGGCGACGAUCAGUAGGGGUUCUGAGAGGAAGGUCCCCCACAUUGGAACUGAGACACGGUCCAAAACUCCUACGGGAGGCAGCAGUGAGGAAUAUUGGUCAAUGGACGAGAGUCUGAACCAGCCAAGUAGCGUGCAGGAUGACGGCCCUAUGGGUUGUAAACUGCUUUUAUAAGGGAAUAAAGUGAGUCUCGUGAGGCUUUUUGCAUGUACCUUAUGAAUAAGGACCGGCUAAUUCCGUGCCAGCAGCCG